rnacentral:lncRNA from 1 species
CUUGGGUUGGGCUGUCUGCAUGCACAUGCUUGAGUCCACUUUCCCAACUCCAGGAAGCUGCUGAUCACUAGUUUCAGGUGUUUUCUAUGUAGCAGGAGAUGGCCUUUCCCUGGCACUGGCUGUGACCAAUUAUUAUUUUAGAGAGACAGUUAACAACGGCCUGACCAUUACUGACCAUUACCUGAUUGUCACCUGACAUUCCUGAUGUGUGUGACAGGAGGUGGGGGGGGAGUGUGAAGUCGGAGAGAGCCCUCUUCUACCCUGCUUAUGCCUGAUGAGCUACCUACUAUAACAGAAAUCUUAGAGUGAGAGGACAUAAUUUUCUCCUUCCAAUAUCUCCUUCUGGCUGACUAAGAUAAAAUGGAUAAAUGGCAACGUGCACCAUUUCUUGAGAAGAGAAGCUGUUUCUUUCUCUUCUAUACACCGGCAUCGCCUGACCCACAGUAGGUAUGAAAUAAAUAUUUGCUGGAUGAAUAAAUAUUUGAAUAAAUUUCAGUUUGGUCUGUGAGAAAAUCAAAAUAGCAAAUAAGAGCAGAAUGUUCUGUAUUACUGGUAGCUGUGGCUAAAAACAAAAUUCCACCUUUCUUCUUCCAAAAUUCCUGAGAGCUACUGGGUUGUCACUGUCAAGGCUUAUGUUGCUAUGAAAAUAUGCUUUGCUGGCUUUAUGUUUCUGCCUAUCACCCCUGCCUCCUGUCUCUUAUGGCAUGCAGCAAAUUCAUGGCUUUGACCUUAAGCAGGGUUUAGUUGGGUUUAUAAGAGUACAAAAGCAGAGAGAAAAGGGAGAGAGAGGAGAGGAGAGAGAAGAGGGGAGAAGAGAGGAAGGAGAGGGGAGGAGAAUAGAGUGGAGGAGAGGGAAAGAGAAGGGAGGGAAUGGGAGAGGAGGAGAGGGAAUGAUGCCUGGUACACACUAAUUUUUUUAAAUGCCAACAGACACGGUACCUUUCGUUCUUCCCUCCUCC